UACGGAGGAUCCGAGCGUUAUCCGGAUUUAUUGGGUUUAAAGGGUGCGUAGGCGGCUUUUUAAGUCAGGGGUGAAAGACGGCAGCUCAACUGUCGCAGUGCCUUUGAUACUGAAGAGCUUGAAUGUGGCUGAAGAUGGCGGAAUGAGACAAGUAGCGGUGAAAUGCAUAGAUAUGUCUCAGAACUCCGAUUGCGAAGGCAGCUAUCUAAACCAUUAUUGACGCUGAUGCACGAAAGCGCGGGGAUCGAACAGG
rnacentral:rRNA from 1 species